rnacentral:rRNA from 1 species
AUAGGGGAGCCGUAGGGAAACCGAGUCUUAACCGGGCGUUAAGUUGCAGGGUAUAGACCCGAAACCCGGUGAUCUAGCCAUGGGCAGGUUGAAGGUUGGGUAACACUAACUGGAGGACCGAACCGACUAAUGUUGAAAAAUUAGCGGAUGACCUGUGGCUGGGGGUGAAAGGCCAAUCAAACCGGGAGAUAGCUGGUUCUCCCCGAAAGCUAUUUAGGUAGCGCCUCGUGAAUUCAUCUCCGGGGGUAGAGCACUGUUUCGGCUAGGGGGCCAUCCCGGCUUACCAACCCGAUGCAAACUGCGAAUACCGGAGAAUGUUAUCACGGGAGACACACGGCGGGUGCUAACGUCCGUCGUGAAGAGGGAAACAACCCAGACCGCCAGCUAAGGUCCCAAAGUCAUGGUUAAGUGGGAAACGAUGUGGGAAGGCCCAGACAGCCAGGAUGUUGGCUUAGAAGCAGCCAUCAUUUAAAGAAAGCGUAAUAGCUCACUGGUCGAGUCGGCCUGCGCGGAAGAUGUAACGGGGCUAAACCAUGCACCGAAGCUGCGGCAGCGAA